UUGUAAUUUGUAGAAGGUGCUUCGGGCGAGACCCCGGUCCAAGUCCCUUGGAACAGGGCGUCGCACAGGGUGAGAAUCCCGUACGCGGCCGGUGGACGAGCCCGUGUGAAGCCCUUUCGACGAGUCGAGUUGUUUGGGAAUGCAGCUCUAAAUGGGUGGUAAAUUUCAUCUAAAGCUAAAUAUCUGCCGGAGACCGAUAGCGCACAAGUAGAGUGAUCGAAAGAUGAAAAGCACUUUGAAAAGAGAGUCAAACAGUACGUGAAAUUGUUGAAAGGGAAGCGCUUGCAACCAGACUCGUUCGCGGGUGCUCAGCCGUCCCCCGGGGCGGUGCAUUCUCCCGCGUUUCGGGCCAGCAUCGGUUCCGGCGGCCGGAUAAAGGCCUCGGGAACGUAACUCUCUUCGGGGAGUGUUAUAGCCCGGGGUGCAAUGCGGCCAGCCGGGACCGAGGACCGCGCGUUUGCUAGGAUGCUGGCGUAAUGGUUGUUAGCGACCCGUCUUGAAACACGGACCAAGGAGUCGACCAAUCGGGCGAGUUUUAGGGCGUAAAACCCUGAAGCGCAAUGAAAGUGAACGCAGGUGGGAGCCUUCGGGCGCACCAUCGACCGAUCCUGAUGUCUUCGGACGGAUUUGAGUACGAGCCCGGCUGGUCGGACCCGAAAGGUACGACCAUCAUUUCUUCUAAAAUUCGUUCUUGUAAAAUAUUCGCUAACUUUCUUUCCAGAUGGCGAACUAUGCGUGAAUAGGGUGAAGCCAGAGGAAACUCUGGUGGAGGCUCGCAGCGGUUCUGACGUGCAAAUCGAUCGUCAAAUUUGCGCAUAGGGGCGAAAGACUAAUCGAGCCAUUUAGUAGCUGGUUCCCGUCGAAGUUUCCCUCAGGAUAGCAGCAACGAAAACUCAGUCUCAUGAGGUAGAGCAAACGAUUAGAGGUCUUGGGAUUAAAAUUAAUCUUAACCUAUUCUCGAACUUCGAAUAUGUGAGAAGUCCUUGUUACUUAGUUGAA
rnacentral:rRNA from 1 species